rnacentral:rRNA from 1 species
UGGGGAAUAUUGCACAAUGGGGGAAACCCUGAUGCAGCGACGCCGCGUGAACGAAGAAGGUAUUCGUAUCGUAAAGUUCUGUCCUAUGGGAAGAUAAUGACAGUACCAUAGAAGAAAGCUCCGGCUAAAUACGUGCCAGCAGCCGCGGUAAUACGUAUGGACCGAGCGUUGUCCGGAAUCAUUGGGCGUAAAGGGUACGUAGGCGGCCUAGUAAGUUAGAAGUUAAAGAAUAUAGCUCAACUAUAUAAAGCUUUUAAAACUGCUAGGCUUGAGAGAUGGAAGGGAAAGUGGAAUUCCUAGUGUAGCGGUGAAAUGCGCAGAUAUUAGGAAGAAUACCGGUGGCGAAGGCGACUUUCUGGUCAUCAUCUGACGCUGAGGUACGAAAGCGUGGGUAGCAAACAGG